rnacentral:rRNA from 1 species
AGAGUUUGAUCAUGGCUCAGGAUGAACGCUGGCGGCGUGCUUAACACAUGCAAGUCGAACGAACCUUCGGGUUAGUGGCGGACGGGUGAGUAACGCGUGAGAAUCUGCCCUCAGGAGGGGGAUAACGGCUGGAAACGGCCGCUAAUACCCCAUAUGCCGAGAGGUGAAAUGAGUUUCGCCUGAGGAUGAGCUCGCGUCUGAUUAGCUAGUUGGUGGGGUAAGAGCCUACCAAGGCAUCGAUCAGUAGCUGGUCUGAGAGGAUGAUCAGCCACACUGGGACUGAGACACGGCCCAGACUCCUACGGGAGGCAGCAGUGGGGAAUUUUCCGCAAUGGGCGAAAGCCUGACGGAGCAACGCCGCGUGAGGGAUGAAGGCCUCUGGGCUGUAAACCUCUUUUAUCAAGGAAGAAGAUCUGACGGUACUUGAUGAAUAAGCCACGGCUAAUUCCGUGCCAGCAGCCGCGGUAAUACGGGAGUGGCAAGCGUUAUCCGGAAUUAUUGGGCGUAAAGCGUCCGCAGGCGGCCUUUUAAGUCUGUUGUCAAAGCGUGGAGCUCAACUCCAUUUAAGCAAUGGAAACUGGGAGGCUUGAGUGUGGUAGGGGCAGAGGGAAUUCCCGGUGUAGCGGUGAAAUGCGUAGAUAUCGGGAAGAACACCAGUGGCGAAGGCGCUCUGCUGGGCCAUAACUGACGCUCAUGGACGAAAGCCAGGGGAGCGAAAGGGAUUAGAUACCCCUGUAGUCCUGGCCGUAAACGAUGAACACUAGGUGUCGGGGGAAUCGACCCCCUCGGUGUCGUAGCCAACGCGUUAAGUGUUCCGCCUGGGGAGUACGCACGCAAGUGUGAAACUCAAAGGAAUUGGCGGGGGCCCGCACAAGCGGUGGAGUAUGUGGUUUAAUUCGACGCAACGCGAAGAACCUUACCAGGGUUUGACAUCCUGCGAAUCCCUUGGAAACUUGGGAGUGCCUUCGGGAGCGCAGAGACAGGUGGUGCAUGGCUGUCGUCAGCUCGUGUCGUGAGAUGUUGGGUUAAGUCCCGCAACGAGCGCAACCCACGUCUUUAGUUGCCAGCAUUCAGUUGGGCACUCUAGAGAGACCGCCGGUGAUAAACCGGAGGAAGGUGUGGAUGACGUCAAGUCAUCAUGUCCCUUACAUCCUGGGCUACACACGUACUACAAUGCUACGGACAAAGGGCAGCAAACUCGCGAGAGCUAGCAAAUCCCAUAAACCGUGGCUCAGUUCAGAUCGUAGGCUGCAACUCGCCUACGUGAAGGAGGAAUCGCUAGUAAUCGCAGGUUAGCAUACUGCGGUGAAUACGUUCCCGGGCCUUGUACACACCGCCCGUCACACCAUGGAAGUUGGCCACGCCCGAAGCCGUUACUCCAACCCUUGUGGAGGAGGACGUCGAAGGUGGGGCUGAUGACUGGGGUGAAGUCGUAACAAGGUAACC